CUUUCAACAACGGAUCUCUUGGCUCUCGCAUCGAUGAAGAACGCAGCGAAAUGCGAUAAGUAAUGUGAAUUGCAGAAUUCAGUGAAUCAUCGAAUCUUUGAACGCACCUUGCGCUCCCUGGUAUUCCGGGGAGCAUGCCUGUUUGAGUGUCGUGAAGUUAUCAUGGUCAUGAUCUUUAAUUAAUCAUGGCUUGGAUUUGGAGGUUUAUGUUGGCUUUCUUAAGUUGACUCCUCUUAAAUAUAUUAGCUCGGUGUCUUAAUACUUAGAGCGGUUCACGGUGUGAUAAUUAUCUACACUUCAACUAAUCUAAGUUAAGCCGGCUUCUAAUAGAUCCUUGGCGAUCACUUUGUGAAUUUGACCUCAAAUCAGGUAGGACUACCCGCUGAACUUAAGCAUAUCAAUAAGCGGAGGAAAUCG
rnacentral:rRNA from 1 species